CAUUAGUCUAUAAUUUUAUCUCCCUAGCUUCGCUAGUUCUCUACCGACACCAAUCCAGGUGCGUCUGCCACCAAGUUGGCUACCCUUCCUAGGGGCGCUUUCGCGCUUGCUCACCAUUAGAUUACCUGGAAACCAGCCAUUCAGGUUGGAGUUUCCCCAGGCUCUUUUGUGUGGGCAUUAGCGGCUUGUGGUUUUUGCACAWAAUCUAAGCUACUUACCGUUCCUCUGACCAUCCACCACUUCUAUAGACAGCACUGAUUA
rfam:Porcine deltacoronavirus strain TSA/Ohio444/2014, complete genome.